UGUCAGGUGAGCCGGGAUAGCCUUCUUCCUCCGCCCAGCCGCCACAGUGACCGUUGUCAAGUCUGCUACAGGAGGAUUUUAUUGUGGUUAACCUGCUUUUCUCCUUCGCAGGUUGUUUAUCAAUAUUUGUGUAAUUUUAUUUACUCCUAGAAUUUUCGCAUGUGUUAGAAAUAUUUAAAUGAUUCGGGUCUGUAAUAUAAAUUGUUAUGUGGACCGGUAAAAUUACUA